rnacentral:rRNA from 1 species
AACGAACGCUGGCGGCGUGCCUAACACAUGCAAGUCGAACGAGAAAGGGGCUUCGGCUCCGAGUAAAGUGGCGCACGGGUGAGUAACACGUGGGUAACCUGCCUCUAAGAUUGGGAUAACUCGUCGAAAGAUGAGCUAAUACCGAAUAAGACCACAGUUCCCGCGGGAACAGGGGUCAAAGGUAGCCUCUGCUUGCAAGCUAUCACUUAGAGAUGGGCCUGCGCACCAUUAGCUAGUUGGUAGGGUAACGGCCUACCAAGGCAAAGAUGGUUAGCUGGUCUGGGAAGAUGGUCCGCCACACUGGAACUGGGACACCGGCCAGACUCCUACGGGGAGCAGCAGGGGGGGAUAUUGCGCAAUGGGCGAAAGGUUGACGGAGCAACGCCGCGUGGGUGAUGAAGGCCUUCGGGUCGUAAAGCUCUGUCGGGAGGGACGAAUGCUCCUGAGGUUAACAGCCUCGGGUGGUGACGGUACCUGCAAAGGAAGCACCGGCUAACUCUGUG